UACGGAAGGGGCGAGCGUUGUUCGGAAUCAUUGGGCGUAAAGGGCGCGUAGGUGGUCUUGUAUGUCUACCGUGAAAGCGUACGGCUCAACCGUAUUUUGUCGGUAGAAACUGCAGGACUUGAGGCUGGGAGGGGCUGGCGGAAUUCCCUGUGUAGCGGUGAAAUGCUUAGAUAUGACAUAGAACACCGAUAGCGAAGGCAGCUUGCUACACAAUUAUUGACACUGAGGCUCGAAAGCGUGGGGAUCAAACAGG
rnacentral:rRNA from 1 species